GCUAUUUUUUCUAAGGCAGGCAGAAGGGAAGUGUAACCAGUAACCUGUGUUUCACUCCAUCAGCUCCCUGACAGCCCCGCUUUGGGAAGUUAAUCUUUUUUCAUUUCGUCUGUCAUCUAGUGCUAUUCGCAUACUCUACAACAAAGUGGAUUUUCAUGAUACUUUACUAAACUGGAUUGAGCUGUCUUCUGCCAUGGAAACAUAACAGUGCCAUGGAAGAGAAAAACUGCAUGUGAAAUCCUGGACUCUAGCAAGGUAUUUCUUCAUUCAUCAACAAAAUGCAGACACCCAUGGGGAACAUAAGGAAUGCUUCAAACCAGAAAAGGAAGAGGAAAAUCAGAUCUAAUAAAAGCAGGAGGAGGUCUGUUGUGGAAGCUGGGGAUUUCAAGGGUUAAGGAUGCUCCAGCUACACCAAUUUUCCUGUGAAUGCAACUUUCCAACCGUGGCCUGGUGGGGGCUCCACACACUCAGUGAUCCACCAUGUGCACUACUGAAGCUGUGCAACGCAGCUGGAGCAGACCCAAGAAUGAAAAACUCUUGGCAUAAACAACGUAAAUGCCAAUAAAUGACAUA